UUGCCACGUUGGUUGAACUGGAGAAAAACGUGGAGCAGUUGCUUCCUCAGCAAGAGAGUGGCCUUGAGGCCAACAGCUUCUGAGACAAGUUCCAAGGAAAGUCUAUGCGAAGGACCAAGGAGAAGUGCCAGGCGUGGCACAAGGAAGCAACGUAAGCCCAGCGCUGCGAACAGCUGGAUUGGUGAAGGCGUCGCUUUGAAGAAGAAGCAGUUGGAGAAGCUUUGGAAGAUGCGAAAGCUCACCGCGAACAAGUUUGUCCGUCAGCUCUGCCUAGCUGUAUUUACUCCUCAAGAGCUGCAAGGCAAAUGCCUGAAGCAAACACGUUCCAGUGGCAACAGAGAAGUCCUGGAUCAAAUACGUCUGAAUGCCAUAAUCGACUACACGUGUUCAAACUUUAUCACCGACAAAAGGCGCUUGAGAAUGGCCAUCUCCUACCUGCUGUUCCGUCUGAACGAGGGAUACGCUCCAUGAUUAUAUUUGUGAUCUGCGCACCGGCAAGGCGGCAUUGUAGCCGGACGAGGGGAGAAAUUCAGCCUUGUUGUUAGGACAUGAAGCGAUAUGUAGCGCA